rnacentral:lncRNA from 1 species
AAAAGGUAAAUACAUACCUUUUCAUUCAGAAAGCUGUUCCCUGAAAGAGUUGGGAGGCUUUGAAUUCCCUUCAUCACUGGGAGGAGAGCAGGAGCCAUACACUGUGUGUGAGGGGUGUGGGGACCAUUCCUACUGUCUCCCUCCCUCUGUUCUCCCCUAAAUGAUCCUGAGCCAGGAAGAGUGAUGCAGAAUGUCUCUCACCCUGUGGAAGAGUUGGUCAGGCUGGUCCUCAGACAACCAGGGAAGCUCUUGGGGUCCUGGAGAAUAGGCACAUAGCAGAUAAAAGGAGUUCUUAACCAAACUUCCCUAGAACGGAGGGAGCUAACAAGAAAGAACUUUGGAAAUCUACCCUCCUCUUUCCCUGUCACUGCCAGGAAUGUCACCAUGAGAGCAGUUUCAGUUAAUGAGCAAACUCCUCAGACAAGGCAGGAAGGCAGCUCUUGGGCCUCACUGUCAAGCACAGGAAGCGACUGGAUUCCACUUGCCCGGUGUAGGGAUGACAGCAGGUCAGCUCCUCUCCAAUUACCCAGAAUGGGUGAGAGUUGAAGAUCUAGAAACAGAUUGCUGAGGCAGGAGAACAAAUGGUGACCCCUGCGCCUGCCCACGUUCCUGGAGGAAAACAGGAGCCAGUAGAGAGUGAGCUGACUCGGUGUGACUCCCUUAACAUUGACACAAAAGAGAAACUAUCAUAGGUCAUGGGUACCAGCAUCCCCAGUUCUCAUCAGGAAGCAGUACCCCAGGGCACAUGUCCCACAGACUGCUGAAAGAGAUCUUGCUCAGGGUUUCCCAGGAUGAGGGGGUGCAGGAGCCCCCCAGAAGUGCCCAUCCUCUAACCAACUGGGGGCCAGCUAAGCAGACAUCUUGGUCAAGCCUCAGCCCGUAGACUUGUGCUCUUGUGGCAUAAGAUGAGCCUCUGGGAACCAACUCGAGACCUACUGUUUGGGAGUUCGCCGGAGCAACGAGCCCCUUCUGAGGCCUCUAAGCUGCUGAGCUCUGCAGGAUUGAGGUCAUGAUCCCUGCCAUGUUCCAGAGGCUUCACAAGAAGAUGAAGGGACCCAGGAGGAGAUUGUGGGUCCAUGGGAACUGUCAGGUAUGCUCAGGUCUCUCUCCACCCCCCUUGACUCCUGCCUGGGCUCAUCUCUAGAGAUGCCCCUGGUCUGGCUGUGCAGAACACUGGAUUGUCACUUGGAAGCAGGAAGCAGUUGUCCAAGGCUGCCUGAGCAGUGGGGAGUCUCAGAGUUAAGGGCUGGAUCUAGGACAGACAUGGCUUCAGCAGGAGGGGAUGUGGACUGGGGGGUCUUCCAGCUGGGCUAACCCACAGGCAUCAGGGGACAGGCAAGAGGCGACCAGGACUUCCCUAACCACCAGAAAGUGAUUCAGCUAAAUUGAGGAAGACUUCCGUUUCAGCAGAAUGCAUUUUCCACUAUGGUAAGAGCUUUCUCACCCACGGGCUCUAGAAGAUCAGAGUCCUCCAAAGAGGGUUUGGAGAGUUUCGGUUUGAAUAGUCAAUGCUGAUUCUUAAUCAUUAUUUUGAAGAGGCAGCUCUUGGUUUUCCAGCAGGUGGCUGGGUCUCAGGGCCGUCAAGCCAGGUGUGUAUGUGAAUACAUGGGUGCAUACCGUGUGAGCAUUUGUCACCUUGGAGGCCAGGAAGGAAGGCAGCCAUGAUCAUUCCUUUGGUCAGUGGUAAGCUCUGUCCAGGUCUGCAGAAUGACCUAUAUAUGCCACCCUCACAACCCUGCCAUGAGAGCUAAUAGCUACACUGAAGUUUCACUGUGUGCCAGGCAGCA